rnacentral:lncRNA from 1 species
AUCCCAGGCUUGUGAGGUUACUGAAUUCCUUGGUGCUCUCGAAGUUUUGGAUUAAUCGAACCAAUGUGUUGUCAUUUUUGUUGACGAAACAAGCUCUUCUUACACGGUGAUCCUGGUGUUUGGCCCUUCGGCUCCGCGGGGAGGGCGUGCUACCUGCAGGCAUCUCGGAAAUGUUUGUUUGCUGCCGUGCUUCCACUUCGGAAACUUCUGCUUUGAUGUAAGACGUUCCAGGUGCCCUUCUGGAGGAAGGCUCUGCUUUAUUGGCCUCCAUAAAAAGAAAUAAAAGUCUCAGGAAAGCCGUGAGUUCCGUGAAGAAUGUGGAUGUGGUUUGAUGUGGAAGAGUUGUUGAUAUUUACUGUGUGUGCUUUGCAGUCCAGCUGCCUCAGCUCGUGCUGUCAGUAAGUAGGAACUUCACCUUCGGGUAACACCCAAACGUGCCUGCAAGAAUCAGAAAUGUUUGCCCAGGUCUUAACAGGAGACAAAAGGGAAAUAGUGUUGUUUGGGUGGCUGCUGGGACGUGCUCGAGCAGCUUUGGAGUCCUCCGUCAAGCUCAGGUAUUGAUUGUCUCGUUGCUCUGUCACUGCUGCAGCUCUGUGUAGAGCUGUAAGUGUGCAUUUGGGCUUCUUGAAACAAAACUGGAUUUCACAAUGCAAAAAUUGCAUGUAGUACCUUCACAAAAAUAAAUGCCCUUCUUAAAAGUAGAUUCUUUUGCAAGUAAAAAUGAUAGGAGGGGGUGAGGAGAAGAAAGGACUUCUGGUAGUUUACAAAAGGGUUUUUAUUUUAUUGUAGCUUAACUCGAUGCUAUCAAAGCUAUUUCGAACAACUACAGUCAUUGCCAAACCUGUGGCUAUUUCAGAAUAAUUUAGAAGCUUCGGGGCUAAGACAAAAAGUGGAGGAUAUUUAAACCUUUGAAACUGAGACUGUACAGAGUUGAGGAUGCACGGGAUGGGAGAUGCUGGCUCAUCCACACUUGUUCAGAUCUUCCAAAAUGUUUGGUAGCAGCCAGGACCAAAUUAAACCAAGGAUGGCACGUCCCUGCUGUUAUCUUCCCUCCCUGAGCAUGUACUGCAGGGAUAGCAGAGCCUCUGUAAACAAGCAUCACGUCCUGAGACAAAGGAGAUGCCUCAGUCUACUCGUGAGUAAGGCAGGCAGCAGCAGCAGCAUUUUGACAGGCAUUUCUGUUGUUCUGCUGCUGGCUGUGUGAAGACCCUUCUUGUUUCAAGUCUUCUCAUUUGAGCUUCGUGCCGUUUGGUGGAACAACGGGGCUGAACAGCUGAUCCCUGUCCACUCUCCUUGUGCUCCGUGGCUUUAUAAAUCGCUGUCAUGUACAUCCCUACGUUCUCUGUUUUCAAGGUUGAGUAGUCUUAGCUUUUGCCAGAUGACUUCUGUCAUCCUUCUGUGAACCUUGUCACUUCAAAACUUUUUAGUUUUUUUUUUUUUUAAGGUGAGCCCACCAAAGCCACCUGCACUUUGCGAUCAGGGUGACCAAGGGAUUUGCAUAGCGUAUAGUGAUUUAUCGCUUGUCCUGUUUCUUUUUCUAAUAAUUUCUGGCAAUGAUUUGUGU